rnacentral:rRNA from 1 species
GACGAACGCUGGCGGCGUGCUUAACACAUGCAAGUCGAACGGAAAGGCCCUGCUUUUGUGGGGUGCUCGAGUGGCGAACGGGUGAGUAACACGUGAGUAACCUGCCCUUGACUUUGGGAUAACUUCAGGAAACUGGGGCUAAUACCGGAUAGGAGCUCCUGCUGCAUGGUGGGGGUUGGAAAGUUUCGGCGGUUGGGGAUGGACUCGCGGCUUAUCAGCUUGUUGGUGGGGUAGUGGCUUACCAAGGCUUUGACGGGUAGCCGGCCUGAGAGGGUGACCGGCCACAUUGGGACUGAGAUACGGCCCAGACUCCUACGGGAGGCAGCAGUGGGGAAUAUUGCACAAUGGGCGGAAGCCUGAUGCAGCAACGCCGCGUGCGGGAUGACGGCCUUCGGGUUGUAAACCGCUUUCGCCUGUGACGAAGCGUGAGUGACGGUAAUGGGUAAAGAAGCACCGGCUAACUACGUGCCAGCAGCCGCGGUGGUACGUAGGGUGCGAGCGUUGUCCGGAUUUAUUGGGCGUAAGGGGCUCGUAGGUGGUUGAUCGCGUCGGAAGUGUAAUCUUGGGGCUUAACCCUGAGCGUGCUUUCGAUACGGGUUGACUUGAGGAAGGUAGGGGAGAAUGGAAUUCCUGGUGGAGCGGUGGAAUGCGCAGAUAUCAGGAGGAACACCAGUGGCGAAGGCGGUUCUCUGGGCCUUUCCUGACGCUGAGGAGCGAAAGCGUGGGGAGCGAACAGGCUUAGAUACCCUGGUAGUCCACGCUGUAAACGGUGGGUACUAGGUGUGGGGUCCAUUCCACGGGUUCCGUGCCGUAGCUAACGCUUUAAGUACCCCGCCUGGGGAGUACGGCCGCAAGGCUAAAACUCAAAGGAAUUGACGGGGCCCCGCACAAGCGGCGGAGCAUGCGGAUUAAUUCGAUGCAACGCGUAGAACCUUACCUGGGUUUGACAUGGAUCGGGAGCGCUCAGAGAUGGGUGUGCCUCUUUUGGGGUCGGUUCACAGGUGGUGCAUGGCUGUCGUCAGCUCGUGUCGUGAGAUGUUGGGUUAAGUCCCGCAACGAGCGCAACCCUUGUUCACUGUUGCCAACACGUUAUGGUGGGGACUCAGUGGAGACCGCCGGGGUCAACUCGGAGGAAGGUGGGGAUGACGUCAAGUCAUCAUGCCCCUUAUGUCCAGGGCUUCACGCAUGCUACAAUGGCUGGUACAGAGAGUGGCGAGCCUGUGAGGGUGAGCGAAUCUCGGAAAGCCGGUCUCAGUUCGGAUUGGGGUCUGCAACUCGACCUCAUGAAGUCGGAGUCGCUAGUAAUCGCAGAUCAGCAACGCUGCGGUGAAUACGUUCCCGGGGCU